rnacentral:lncRNA from 1 species
AACACAAGAUUGACGUUCAUGCCGAAGUUUAGUUAACGCGCGUUAUUCGGAACACAGAAAUCAUAUUUCUAGGAUAUAUUUCAUGAAUUUUACAUCCUCAAUAUUAAGAAAUGAAGUGCUGAUGGCCAGCUUCGCAUUAUUUUCAUGAAAGAAGAUCCUCGUCCUUUGACUUCAGAAAGCAACCGUUGGUAUUGUCAACGGAAACCGACCUAGGCGACACAGGACACUGCAACAGAUUUAUUGUCAGGAUAAAUCCUGAGCAAAGCAAGUGUUCUUCCAAGGUCCAGCUGAGCAGAAGGACUGGCAGGAUGGUGCAACGAAAAAAUGAAUCCCUCAAUCCACACGUGGCAUCGUUUAUCAGGCUUUAUCGAGAAUGACUGGCAGAACAAUUGAUAUCAGGUGAGACUGUUAAUUUAUAUUUAUUUAAACUUUGCAGAAAUAAAAUACUCUACAGCAGGGGUAGACA